rnacentral:rRNA from 1 species
GACGAACGCUGGCGGCGUGCUUAACACAUGCAAGUCGAACGGAAAGGCCCUGCUUUUGUGGGGUGCUCGAGUGGCGAACGGGUGAGUAACACGUGAGUAACCUGCCCUUUACUUUGGGAUAACUUCAGUAAACUGGGGCUAAUACCGGGUAGGAGCUCCUUCUGCAUGGUGGGGGUUGUAAAGUUUCGGAGGUUGGGGAUGGACUCGCGGCUUAUCAGCGUGUUGGUGGGGUAGUGGCUUACAAAGGCUUUGAGGGGUAGCCGGCCUGAGAGGGUGACCGGCCACAUUGGGACUGAGAUACGGCCCAGACUCCUACGGGAGGCAGCAGUGGGGAAUAUUGCACAAUGGGCGGAAGCCUGAUGCAGCAACGCCGCGUGCGGGAUGACGGCCUUCGGGUUGUAAACCGCUUUCGCCUGUGACGAAGCGUGAGUGACGGUAAUGGGUAAAGAAGCACCGGCUAACUACGUG